ensembl:Y_RNA Y_RNA Y RNA
AGCUGGUCCAAACAUAUUGAGUUAUCUCACUGAUGGUUCACAGUCGGUUACAGAUUGAACCCCUUAUUCUACCAUUUUUCCCCUUCUCACCACUACACUUGACUAGUCUUAG